ACCUUGGAGGCCGUGGCACACGAGGCAUAACCUUUCUGGCGGCGGAUCACCUCUCGGACUACCCCCCCCAGGCAUGGAGUCUCUGCAGAGGGCGGAAGAGAAAUGAGACCUAAGUCUCAGAGACCGGGUUUAGUAUGAAGUCUUAAAGUGGGGCUGGUAGAAGCAGGACUCAAAUCCAAGCUCCCAAGGCAUAGGACCCCACACCACCCUGGGACGAAUGGUCAUUCCUCGAUGCACUAGGCGUGCUCACCUGGAUGCUGAGGUGUGACCACUAGGUGGCGACAGAGCCUCACAAAGAGUUCCCAGGAUUCCGGUCAGGCAGCAGCCUGACACGUCAGCCGGCACCGCAGCAACCCCGGACUCCUGGACCAUCGGAGCAGGGCCAUACUCCCUCUCUAGGCCCCGCCUUGCAUGCCCCAGCAUGUGGGAGAGCGGGUUCUGCUGGGAGCCUGGCCUGGAUCUAAAUCGCAGCUCUGCCACUUCCUGGCCUCUUGUGCCAAGGAUGCAUCUGAGCAUCAAGUUUCUCAUCUCUAAAACAGGAGUGAUGACGCAUGUCCGGGGCUUGCGGAUGAGAAAAAGACCUGGCAAUGGAUGGGUUUGUGGUAAUUAAGACAAAGGGAGCAUGCACUGCUUGCCAAAGAGAGGUCUCCUGGGGUGUUUUACAAUGGCCAACAUUUAAACCCUGAAGCAUUUUACAUAGAAACCCUGAAUUUCUAGCUUCUUUUGAGAAGAAGCUGCAUCCCACACAGCUGCAUCUGCUAGAGCCAUACCCUCCAAGCUACCACAGUCCCCACCACUCUCUAUUGGGCCUCAUUUCCCCCAAGUCUGUCAGCUCACUCAGCCCCUUGGGCCUUGAAGGCAGGGGAGUUUGCUCCUCAGACAAAUCUUGGAAGUUAGGAACAGUGCAGUCUGUCCCCAUUCUGGGGCAGGUAGGGCUUGGGUGGGUUUUUGUGUAUUUCCCUCGGGCCUGGAAGAGAACCUCACCACCUGUGACUCCCACUGGGCACCCCCAGGAAGGAGGGCAUGGAACCCAGCUGCUCCAGGCCUGUACGUCCCUGCUGGGGGCCGCGGUGGGCAGACCGCAGACCAGCCUUGGUUUGCCUCCCUGGCUCUGAGGCUUUGGAGGCCAGAGCUCGCUACUGACUGAGGAGGAGAUCUCAUUUUGAGGCUGGGAUGGCCUCCUGGUCCCAUCAGCUGCUUGUCAGCUGGGCCUGUGCCCUCUGUUAACCCCAGCAUGGCUUCCUUGUAUACCGAUGGAGUCUCCCCUUCCCCAGAGCCUGCGGAAAUGCUCAUGAGCCAUAGCUCACAUCUCAGCUCAAACAUCACCUCUUCCCCCAGGGAGCCUUUCCUGGUCCUCUAAGCAGAACCAGCCAUCUGCUGCUGCUUCACUGUGCCCACAGCAUGCACUGGCGUCUCCUGUGAGACCUAUUUUAUCCUGCUCAGACAACAGGUGCUUAUUUACAUGUCUGCCUUUCUCCCUGGAUUGUGUUUUCCUGAACGCUGCAGCUCCUACACCCAGCCCAGGACCCACACGAGGUGCUGUAAGCAGCUCCUGGCAGGAAAGAACUCUCGCAGGAGGCCCCCUUUGUCUUGUCACUAACCUUAAACUUGCACCCCCCCAUGCUCUACUCAUCUCCAGCCCUAGCACACCUUUCAGAUCUUUGGAUCGCAUAAUACUCUGCCCAAUCUGUUGGUUCUUUCCAUAGAUCACAGAAGUAGAAAUGAAUAAGUAAUUAACAGAUGACCAGAUCUCUUCCCUAGCUUCCCCCUUCAGUCAUCUCACAGACAAACUGUGUAAGCAAGAUAGCAUCUAAAGAAAAAUCAAAAGAAGUCGACAAGUCUGCACAUAGUCGGAGAUGGUGAUGACUGUGACACACACACACACACACCCCGCCCCGUCUCAAUGAUUAACUGAGACUGCUUCCGUCUUUCCCUUUGAAAACUUUCACGGCCAAGUGAAUCUUCAGAUGUGGUUUUUGGGGGACACUGAGUCCACCAUCUCCCCAGAUUGCCAGCAUUCUGAUUAAAAGCAACUUUCCUUUCUACCAACA